rnacentral:rRNA from 1 species
GACAGAGGGUGCAAACGUUGUUCGGAAUUACUGGCGUAAAGCGAGUGUAGGCGGUCUGAAAAGUCGGGUGUGAAAGCCCCGGGCUCAACCCGGGAAGUGCACUCGAAACUGCCAGGCUAGAGUAUCGGAGAGGUUGGUGGAAUUCUCGGUGUAGAGGUGAAAUUCGUAGAUAUCGAGAGGAACACCGGUGGCGAAGGCGGCCAACUGGACGAAUACUGACGCUGAGACUCGAAAGCGUGGGGAGCAAACAGG